UUGAUCUUCUAUUUACAGAGAUACAUUGAGAUGAAGAGACUGCUUCGUGUCAUAUUCCUCCUGAACAUUUUCUCAUGUCUGUCUCACGCGGUGACCGUGACUCAGAAUAAAGCCUUUACAUUGCUGACUGUUGGAGGCAGUAUGGAAGAAAUGUCCUGUACGCAUGAUGGCACCGGCAGCUACUAUAUGUACUGGUACCGGCAGGAACCAGGAGAAGGCUUGGUGCUAAUUGCAAUGUCGCUAACAGAGAAUGAUGCCAAGCCAGAAGAAGAAUUUAAAGAAACCUGGACAAUGACUCGUCCAAGUGAUGAGAAAUCUACGCUAAAAAGGAAUGGAGCAGUGAACAUCACAGACUCGGCUAUGUAUUACUGUGCAGCCAGUUUACACAGUCGUAGGAAGCUGAGACACAGCUGGCACCAAACAUGAAGUGUAUUAAUUUGGAGUCGAAAAUGCUAACAACAAAUUCACCUGCGGGAGGCAAUAGUGUUGUGUCAUUCUUCCGCUGGGGAGCAAAAUGUAUCGUACAUUCUAGAACUCUUUUGGAAUGUGU